rnacentral:ribozyme from 1 species
AAUCUCCUCUGGGGAGGUAAAAGGCAGUGUUUCUGGAAGAGGAGAAACCCGUACAUUUACACCCACUAUAUUUUCUGUUGCUCGACAGCGAAUUAUCACUUCUUUUUAUGAGCAAAAUGACUUUAUUGAAUACAGAAUGUUACGAGAAAUGGAUAUUGACAGACCAGAACAAUACAUGCAGCGUUUAAAAGAAUCUGGAGUACCACUUCAGUCUGUGUUUGUGUCUCCAAUGACGAUUAUUAGAAUUGAUGCAGAAAUCACAGAAGCGGUGUUAAGUUGUUCUUUUCUUGACUUGCGACACACUUUUAUCUCUUCU